GAGCGGAGCAAUCCGCAAGUAGAGUGGCGAACGGCUGAGUAAUACAUCGGAACAUUUCCAGUAGCGGGGGAUAACCUGUCGAGAGAUAGGCUAAUACCGCAUACGCCCUACGGGGGAAAGCGGAGGACCGCAAGGCUUCGCACUAUGGAGUGGCCGAUGUCGGAUUAGCUAGUUGGCGGGGUAAAAGCCCACCAAGGCGACGAUCCGUAGCUGGUCUGAGAGGACGAUCAGCCACACUGGAACUGAGACACGGUCCAGACUCCUACGGGAGGCAGCAGUGGGGAAUUUUGGACAAUGGGCGCAAGCCUGAUCCAGCCAUGCCGCGUGAGUGAAGAAGGCCUUCGGGUUGUAAAGCUCUUUCGGCGGGGACGAAAUGGUUCGUGCUAAUACCACGGACUGAUGACGGUACCCGAAGAAGAAGCACCGGCUAACUACGUGCCAGCAGCCGCGGUAAUACGUAGGGUGCAGGCGUUAAUCGGAAUUACUGGGCGUAAAGCGUGCGCAGGCGGUUUGUUAAGACAGAUGUGAAAUCCCCGGGCUUAACCUGGGAACUGCGUUUGUAACUGGCAAGCUAGAGUGUGGCAGAGGGGGGUGGAAUUCCAAGUGUAGCAGUGAAAUGCGUAGAUAUUUGGAGGAACACCGAUGGCGAAGGCAGCCCCCUGGGCUAACACUGACGCUCAUGCACGAAAACGUGGGGAGCAAACAGGAUUAGAUACCCUGGUAGUCC
rnacentral:rRNA from 1 species